rnacentral:rRNA from 1 species
GGCCUAACACAUGCAAGUCGAGCGGUUGAGGUAGCUUGCUACCGAUGCAGCGGCGGACGGGUGAGUAAUACAUGGGAAUCUGCCUGGUAGUGGGGGACAACGUUUCGAAAGGAACGCUAAUACCGCAUACGCCCUACGGGGGAAAGGGGGGGAUCUUCGGACCUCUCGCUAUCAGAUGAGCCCAUGUCGGAUUAGCUUGUUGGUGAGGUAAAGGCUCACCAAGGCGACGAUCCGUAACUGGUCUGAGAGGAUGAUCAGUCACACUGGAACUGAGACACGGUCCAGACUCCUACGGGAGGCAGCAGUGGGGAAUAUUGGACAAUGGGCGCAAGCCUGAUCCAGCCAUGCCGCGUGUGUGAAGAGGGCCUUAGGGUUGUAAAGCAC